rnacentral:rRNA from 1 species
GAUGAACGCUGGCGGCGUGCCUAAUACAUGCAAGUCGAGCGAACAGACGAGGAGCUUGCUCCUCUGACGUUAGCGGCGGACGGGUGAGUAACACGUGGAUAACCUACCUAUAAGACUGGGAUAACGUCGGGAAACCGGAGCUAAUACCGGAUAAUAUAUUGAACCGCAUGGUUCAAUAGUGAAAGACGGUUUUGCUGUCACUUAUAGAUGGAUCCGCGCCGCAUUAGCUAGUUGGUAAGGUAACGGCUUACCAAGGCAACGAUGCGUAGCCGACCUGAGAGGGUGGUCGGCCACACUGGAACUGAGACACGGUCCAGACUCCUACGGGAGGCAGCAGUAGGGAAUCUUCCGCAAUGGGCGAAAGCCUGACGGAGCAACGCCGCGUGAGUGAUGAAGGUCUUCGGAUCGUAAAACUCUGUUAUUAGGGAAGAACAAAUGUGUAAGUAACUAUGCACGUCUUGACGGUACCUAAUCAGAAAGCCACGGCUAACUACGUG